UUGCUAGAGCCUCCGUUUGUUCUUUCUUCAAUUUGAUGUUUAGACAAAUAUUUGAGUUGAGGUAAAUAAACACUUUAAUGCGGGAAGUAAAGAAAGAAGAGAAAUAAACACAAAUCCAAAGCAUGAGAAAAAGAGAUAAGUAAAGAGAGAUUCAAUACAUGAUAUUUGUUAAUGUAGUUUGGAUUUAUCAAUCUUACUUCUGCGAAGUCUUGCUCAAAAAAUAAAUUUAUUCAACAAUUUAUCAAGUAUAACUACGGGGUAAAGUACAUUUUCCUCUCUCACAAUAGAUAAUUACAACUGUAAAAAUCGGCUAUAUAGUCCGAACAAAAAUAUUGUAAUUUCUUCUCUUCUCCUCGGUUUUACGAACACUGGAAAUCAGAAAAACAAGAUAGAAAUAUUGAAAGGGUUGAUUUUGAUCUUAUUGUUUUCUCUUCGUUUUCCCUUUUUCAUUAUUUAUCUUUUUGUUUAUUUAUUAUUAUUAUUUUUUAAUAAAUCUGAUUUUUUUUAAAAAAACAAAAGAAAAGAAAGUACCUGGCAGAACCCGCGGUCGUCGUCGACAGUCCCUUCGGUCGCCGGAAUCGGACCGAGAAAGGGCGAAGGAGGUCCUUUUCCUUUGGCCUUUUAUGCCAAGAGGGCUCGGCCUUCGAACGGGGUGAAAACGGGGUUAAAAACCUGAUCUUUGAGGGCGCCGACCACCGCCUACGGUGGAGCCACGGCGGCCAAAGGCCUAGAAACCCGACGGUCGGAUUUGGGGAAGAAGAGAAGAGAGGGAGAGGGUUUCUAACAUUUUUUUUUAUUUUCUAAUGGCAGAAUGAUUUUUUUUAAAAAAUUUUUACCUUUAUAAGAGUUGCAAAACGACGCCGUUUAGCCCCCUCAGACCCAAUGCGCGACCCGACCCGCCUAGGGGAUCCGCGCGUUUCUGAUUAAGG
rnacentral:lncRNA from 1 species